rnacentral:rRNA from 1 species
CAUUAAUGAAUUGUAAUGGGGGUUGAUGCUGGCGAGUACCCCUGCAUGUGCUCAUCCCCAACAAUUUUCCCUAAACACCUGUGCACUCCUGAGGGAGGGGGAAAUUCCAAGUUGUUUUCUUGGGUUCUCUCUUCUUUCACAUAUACGCUGAUUAUAAUAUUGAAUGUUUCUUGUGCUAAGAAUGGCAUUAAUAAAAUACAACCUUUAACAACGGAUCUCUUGGCUCUUGCAUCGAUGAAGAACGCAGCGAAAUGCGAUAAGUAAUGUGAAUUGCAGAAUUCAGUGAAUCAUCGAAUCUUUGAACGCACCUUGCGCUCCUUGGUAUUCCGAGGAGCAUGCCUGUUCGAGUGUUAUAAUAUUGUCAAGCUGGGGGAUGCUUUUGUCUCGAAAGUCAUCGUUCGCUUGGUUUGUUGGGCUUUGCCUUUAUCCUGUAAUUGGAAUGGCUGGCCUUAAAAGCGUUAGCUGAUCCGUGUGUGGGAUUGGUUCUACUUGGUGUGAUAAUGAAUCAAAUUGCCGAGGACAUCCUUCGAGAUGGCCAAUUUCCCAUGUGCGGAUUGCUUUCUAAUCUGGGUUUUACUGAAUCUCUUAUGGGAUUGUGUUGUACCCUUCGAUUUUGACCUCGAAUCAGGUAGGACUACCCGCUGAACUUAAGCAUAUCAAUAAGCGGANGAAAAGAAACUAACGAGGAUUCCCUUAGUAACGGCGAGUGAAGCGGGAAAAGCUCAAAUUUAAAAUCUGGCAGUCUUUGAUUGUCCNAGUUGUAAUCUAGAGAAGUGUUUUCCGCAUUGGACUGUGUACAAGUUUCCUGGAUACGGAACAUCAUA